GCCGAGGUGGUGAAAUGGUAGACACACUAGCUUUAGGCGCUAGCGGGAGCAAUCCUAUGGAGGUUCAAGUCCUCUCCUCGGCA
rnacentral:tRNA from 1 species